rnacentral:ncRNA from 2 species
CGCUCAUCCAGAGGGGCAGAGGGAAACGGCCCGAUGAAGCCCCGGCAACCCUCCAGCCGGUUCUCGUAGAUCACCGCCGAUCGACGAUCACAGCGCACCGUGACGAUCGCCGCGUACCGCGGCGUCCACCGUGCACCGCGGCGUCCGCCGCGCGUCGCAGUGGAUCGCGUCGCUGAUCGUCCUCGCGAGGCUCCCGGCUAGGGAAGGUGCCAAAUCCGUCUCACGGCGAGAUGCGUCGUGAGGAAGAUGAGGA